GACGAACGCUGGCGGCGUGCUUAACACAUGCAAGUCGAACGGAAAGGCCCUGCUUUUGUGGGGUGCUCGAGUGGCGAACGGGUGAGUAACACGUGAGUAACCUGCCCUUGACUUUGGGAUAACUUCAGGAAACUGGGGCUAAUACCGGAUAGGAGCUCCUGCUGCAUGGUGGGGGUUGGAAAGUUUCGGCGGUUGGGGAUGGACUCGCGGCUUAUCAGCUUGUUGGUGGGGUAGUGGCUUACCAAGGCUUUGACGGGUAGCCGGCCUGAGAGGGUGACCGGCCACAUUGGGACUGAGAUACGGCACAGACUCCUACGGGAGGCAGCAGUGGGGAAUAUUGCACAAUGGGCGGAAGCCUGAUGCAGCAACGCCGCGUGCGGGAUGACGGCCUUCGGGUUGUAAACCGCUUUCGCCUGUGACGAAGCGUGAGUGACGGUAAUGGGUAAAGAAGCCACGGCUAACUACGUG
rnacentral:rRNA from 1 species